GACACCUGUGGUAAGCAAUUCAAAUCUGUUUAUUUUUGUUGCACUUCAAGUGUAGGAUAAAUCUGUUGCUGGUGAGGUGCAAUAAAUAUUACAAGGUUCAUUAACACAACUACCUGUAUGUUCUUCUCUAUUCAACUGACUCGAAUACUGCUCAGAAAAUUUCAAAUUCUUUGACAUACAACUUCUGUUUAAAGUAACGGAAAUAGUUACUUUCCCUGGUAACUAGUUACUUUUACUUUAGAGUAAUUCAGUUACUAACUCAGUUACUUUUUGGAAGAAGUAGUGAGUAACUAACCAAUUACUUUUUUAAAGUAACGUGCCCAACACUGGGUAUAAAUAAGGCAAGCCUCCUUCAAAACACUACGUAAUGAUGUUCUAAUCAUGUGCACCUGAUGUGAUACACCUUUGUGUAAUGUGGGCUUGAAUGUGGGGGUGUCCUAAUUUAUUCAACAACAGAAAUUGCAUUUAUUUAAAACUCAUUUCACAGAAAGUUAUAAAAAUCUUUUUUUCAGUUUUAAUUGUUUAGUUCUAUUACUUAAAUCUUUCAAGAUUGUUAAAAUUGAUAUUAAAUAUCCGUAUGACCAAAUAUGUCAGAAAACACACAGGCUUCCACAGGGUGUCCUAAUUUUUUCACAUAACUGUAUGUGAGUGCAUGUGUGAGUUGGUGUCAUUGUGUCGGUCAUUGACGCUGUGGCGGGUCCACGCGGGGACGCUCGUCAUACCAGCAGGAAUCGAGUGAGCCACUGUGACGGACAAAAAGUUCCACCGAGGAUGAAAUCACACUGAGGUUUACUUGGGCGUAAGUCAAAGAUAUCUGAUACUUACAGCAUUGACACCUCUGUCUUUCACUUCGCGGCUGCUCUCUGAUUCAUACAGCACUGUGGAAAAAAAAGGCAGGAAAUGACUUCUGAGUACGCAGAAACAAGGGUCUGUACAAAUCUUCGAGGUUUCAUGGAAAAACAUUAAAAGCUUCGAUUCUCCUUCUUCAAGUGCAGUAAUUGGCAAUCUGAAUGGAGUGUUCGGUCUGGCUGGGGUGACAGAGGAGCUUACACACUCGUCUGACAUGGAUAAAGGACAGCUGCACUCUGGUUUGACCCACAUAAGGCUUCUUGGAGAAAAUGCGGACAAAGAACUCUCCAGGUUGGUUGGGACGGUAGGUGGAGGCCACCAGGACGUAGUGACCCGGGUCCAGGUGCAUCUUUCUCCACACGGCUCUACGGAUGAUGGUCAGGUUUGUAAUAUUCAUAAGUUUCAUUAUAGGCUUGUUGGCUGUCAUUUAAAGAAGGUGACAGCCUUUUCUAUAUUAAUAUUUUAAUGUGUAAAAAUCACAUUUAUUUAUUUAUAUAGCCCUUCACAAAAACCUGAGAGGUCCUCAAAGUGCUUCACAACUAAGCAAAUUAUACACAUGACAAAUAAAAGGCAGGAAAGUACUAUACAAUAAAAUUAAGGGAAAAAAACAAAAAUGCAUCGCGCUAAAACUAGUCAUUACAACAAAUGAAACAGAACAUCCAUCAUAAAGAAAACUGGUUUAGACCCCGAUAUCCCGACCAACUAUCGACCCAUUUCCAAUCUACCUUUUCUGUCAAAAAUUAUGGAAAGGGCAGUUGCGUCACAACUCCAAACCCACUUUACCGACAAUAAGCUGUGUGAACUUUUCCAAUCUGGCUUCUGCUCACAACAUAGUACCGAAGCAGCACUUCUCAAAGUUAUCAAUGACAUCCUCCUCUCAUCGGACUCCGGACAACUCACCAUCCUCAUCCUCCUGGAUCUCACUGUUGCUUUUGACACAAUCAACCACACCAUCCUGGACUAGAGUCUCUACACAUUACUGGCACUGCUUUUUCCUGGUUCCGCUCCUACCUCACCGGCCGACAACAAUUCAUCAGCAUUAACAACUGCACGUCCCCUGCUGUUUCCCUACCACAAGGUGUCCCCCGAGGUUCGGUUCUUGGCCACCCCCUUCAUUCUUUACAUCCUCCCCCUUGGUCAGAUCAUCCGUAAAUUUGGACUGCAAUUUCACUGCUACGCCGAUGACAUCCAAAUAUACUGUACAUCUCCACAAAAACCAUCUCACACAGCACCAAAUCUACACGUCACAACUGCCUCAGUGAAAUUAAAUCCUGGAUGCAACUUAACUGUCUUCAACUCAACCGCAACAAAUCGGACAUAAUCAUCAUCGACCCUGCAGCUCACAUAAAAAAUAGUCAAUUCGCCCCUACCAUCGACAACUGCACACUCCCUCUCUCAACACACUCCCGCAACCUAGGUAUCAUUUUCGACAAUAAACUAAGAUUCGACCAGCACAUCAACCACAUCACCAGAACUGCCUUCUUCCACCUCAAGAACAUAGCCCGCCUUCGCCCCUCCCUCACCUACUCUGCUGCAGAAACCCUCAUACAUGCAUUCGUCACCUCCAGACUCGAUCAUUGUAACGGCAUUCUUUUCGGAUCGCCAGCCAAUUUCCUCAAUAAACAACAAUAUUUCCAGAACUCUGCUGCACGACUUCUCACCCGAACCCCCUAUAGGGAAUCACAUUACCCUCGUCCUCCACAAAUUGCACUGGCUUCCCAUAUCACACUGGAUACAUUUCAAAAUCAUCCUUCUCACAUACAAAGCACUUAAUAACUUGGCUCCUCCUCACCUCACGGACCUUCUCUGUCCCCACACCCCCUCCAGUCACCUCUGCUCAUCUAAUGGAAACAUUCUCGCGCAGCCCCCACAAAUAACACACCGUACUUGGGGGGACAGAGCCUUCUCCGUUGCUGCCCCCUCACUUUGGAACGCACUCCCUUAAAUCAUCCGCACCUGCCCUGAUCUUCCCAAAUUAAAAAAAUUGUUAAAAACUCACCUUUUUAAACUGGCUUUUAAUUUGUAAAUCUUUUCUCUAUUGUUUUGUACUGCCAACUGCAAAGCGUCUUUGACCACCGGUAAAAGCGCUCUAUAAAUAAAAUGU